CCAAGGAGUCUAACAUGUGCGCGAGUCAAUGGGGAUCUCUCGAGACCCACAGGCGCAAUGAAAGUGAAGGUGGUUGGCUUGUCCCCCACCGAGGCGGGAUCCGAUCCGGCUGGGGUGAGGGGAGGAACUUGUUUCUCCCCUUUGCCUUUAGACGGCGGCGCACCGUCGGCCCGUCGCAAACGCAACGCCGUUGCGGCGGAGCAAGAGCGU
rnacentral:rRNA from 1 species